GUGCAGCAGGCGAGAAACCUCCGCAAUGCACGCAAGUGCGACGGGGGAACCCCAAGUGCCACUCUUAACGGGGUGGCUUUUCAGAAGUGUAAAAAGCUUCUGGAAUAAGGGCUGGGCAAGACCGGUGCCAGCCGCCGCGGUAACACCGGCAGCUCAAGUGGUAGCCGCUUUUAUUGGGCCUAAAGCGUCCGUAGCCGGUCUGAUAAGUCUCUGGUGAAAUCCCACAGCUUAACUGUGGGAAUUGCUGGAGAUACUAUCAUGACUCGAGGUCGGGAGAGGCUGGAGGUACUCCCAGGGUAGGGGUGAAAUCCCGUAAUCCUGGGAGGACCACCUGUGGCGAAGGCGUCCAGCUGGAACGAACCUGACGGUGAGGGACGAAAGCCAGGGGCGCGAACCGGAUUAGAUACCCUUGUAGUCC
rnacentral:rRNA from 1 species